rnacentral:rRNA from 1 species
CCUACGGGUGGCAGCAGUAGGGAAUAUUGCUCAAUGGGGGAAACCCUGAAGCAGCAACGCCGCGUGGAGGAUGAAGGUCUUCGGAUUGUAAACUCCUUUUGUUAGAGAAGAUAAUUACGGUAUGUAACGAAUAAGCACCGGCCAAAUCCGUGCCAGCAGACGCGGUCAUACGGAGGGUGCAAGCGUUACUCGGAAUCUCUGGGCGUAAAGGGCGCGUAGGCGGGUUAGCAAGUCAGAUGUGAAAUCCUCUGGCUUAACCUUAGAACUGCAUUUGAAACUGUUAUUCUAGAGUCUGGUAGAGGUAGGUGGAAUUCUUGGUGUAGGGGUAAAAUCCGUAGAUAUCAAGAGGAAUACUCAUUGCGAAGGCGACCUGCUAGAACAUAACUGACGCUGAUGCGCGAAAGCGUGGGGAGCAAACAGGAUUAGAUACCCGAGUAGUC